UGGGGAAUAUUGGACAAUGGGGGCAACCCUGAUCCAGCAAUGCCGCGUGUGUGAAGAAGGUCUUCGGAUUGUAAAGCACUUUCGACGGGGACGAUGAUGACGGUACCCGUAGAAGAAGCCCCGGCUAACCUCGUGCCAGCAGCCGCGGUAAUACGAAGGGGGCUAGCGUUGCUCGGAAUGACUGGGCGUAAAGGGCGUGUAGGCGGUUUACACAGUCAGAUGUGAAAUCCCCGGGCUUAACCUGGGAGCUGCAUUUGAUACGUGUAGACUAGAGUGUGAGAGAGGGUUGUGGAAUUCCCAGUGUAGAGGUGAAAUUCGUAGAUAUUGGGAAGAACACCGGUGGCGAAGGCGGCAACCUGGCUCAUGACUGACGCUGAGGCGCGAAAGCGUGGGGAGCAAACAGGAUUAGAUACCCUGGUAGUCCACGCUGUAAACGAUGUGUGCUAGAUGUUGGGUAACUUUGUUAUUCAGUGUCGCAGUUAACGCGUUAAGCACACCGCCUGGGGGAGUACGGCCGCAAGGUUGAA
rnacentral:rRNA from 1 species